UGGAGGGCAAGUCUGGUGCCAGCAGCCGCGGUAAUUCCAGCUCCAAUAAGCGUAUAUUUAAGUUGUUGCAGUUAAAAAGCUCGUAGUUGAAUUUCGGGGUUAGUAGGUUGGUCAUGCCUCUGGUAUGUACUGGUCUCACUGAUUCCUCCUUCCUGAUGAACCGUAAUGCCAUUAAUUUGGUGUUGCGGGGAAUUUGGACUGUUACUUUGAAAAAAUUAGAGUG
rnacentral:rRNA from 1 species